CCCUAGAGGGGGACAACAGUUGGAAACGACUGCUAAUACCGCAUACGAUCUAAUCUCGGCAUCGAGGAUAGAUGAAAGGUGGCCUCUACAUGUAAGCUAUCACUGAAGGAGGGGAUUGCGUCUGAUUAGCUAGUUGGAGGGGUAACGGCCCACCAAGGCGAUGAUCAGUAGCCGGUCUGAGAGGAUGAACGGCCACAUUGGGACUGAGACACGGCCCAG
rnacentral:rRNA from 1 species